rnacentral:rRNA from 1 species
GCUGGCGGCAGGCUUAACACAUGCAAGUCGAACGGGUGUUUGGGGCUUGCUCCAUAACUUAGUGGCGAACGGGUGAGUAAUGCCUAGGAAUCUGCCUAUUAGCGGGGGAUAACGUUUCGAAAGGAAUGCUAAUACCGCAUACGCCCUAAGGGGGAAAGGGGGCACUUGUGCUCUCACUAAUAGAUGAGCCUAGGUCAGAUUAGCUAGUUGGUGGGGUAAAGGCCUACCAAGGCGACGAUCUGUAGCGGGUCUGAGAGGAUGAUCCGCCACACUGGAACUGAGACACGGUCCAGACUCCUACGGGAGGCAGCAGUGGGGAAUAUUGGACAAUGGGGGAAACCCUGAUCCAGCCAUGCCGCGUGUGUGAAGAAGGCCUUUUGGUUGUAAAGCACUUUAAGCGGGGAAGAGGGCGUUGUGGUUAAUACCCACAGGCGUCGGACAUUACCCGCAGAAUAAGCACCGGCUAACUCUGUGCCAGCAGCCGCGGUAAUACAGAGGGUGCGAGCGUUAAUCGGAAUUACUGGGCGUAAAGCGCGCGUAGGCGGUUAUGUAAGUUGGAUGUGAAAUCCCCGGGCUUAACCUGGGCACUGCAUUCAAAACUGCAUAGCUAGAGUAUAGGAGAGGAAGGUAGAAUUCCAGGUGUAGCGGUGAAAUGCGUAGAGAUCUGGAGGAAUACCGAUGGCGAAGGCAGCCUUCUGGCCUAAUACUGACGCUGAGGUGCGAAAGCAUGGGGAGCAAACAGGAUUAGAUACCCUGGUAGUCCAUGCCGUAAACGAUGUCAACUAGCCGUUGGGGGUCUUGAACCUUUAGUGGCGCAGCUAACGCGAUAAGUUGACCGCCUGGGGAGUACGGUCGCAAGACUAAAACUCAAAUGAAUUGACGGGGGCCCGCACAAGCGGUGGAGCAUGUGGUUUAAUUCGAUGCAACGCGAAGAACCUUACCUGGCCUUGACAUACAGAGAAUCCAGCAGAGAUGCGGGAGUGCCUUCGGGAAUUCUGAUACAGGUGCUGCAUGGCUGUCGUCAGCUCGUGUCGUGAGAUGUUGGGUUAAGUCCCGCAACGAGCGCAACCCUUUUCCUUAUUUGCCAGCACUUCGGGUGGGAACUUUAAGGAUACUGCCAGUGACAAACUGGAGGAAGGCGGGGACGACGUCAAGUCAUCAUGGCCCUUACGGCCAGGGCUACACACGUGCUACAAUGGUCGGUACAAAGGGUUGCUAACCCGCGAGGGCAUGCUAAUCUCACAAAGCCGAUCGUAGUCCGGAUUGGAGUCUGCAACUCGACUCCAUGAAGUCGGAAUCGCUAGUAAUCGCGGAUCAGAAUGUCGCGGUGAAUACGUUCCCGGGCCUUGUACACACCGCCCGUCACACCACGGGAGUUUGUUGCACCAGAAGUAGGUAGCUUAACCGCAAGGAGGGCGCUUACCACGGUGUGGCCAAUGACUGGGGUGAAGUCGUAACAAGGUAACC